GUAAGCCGUGUGCGGGAAAUCCGCACGCACGGUUUGAACGGGGGUCGUACUCACAACAUCGCGUACGCGCGGUGUGACAAGUAGGAUCUACCAAUGGCCAAGAGGUCUCCCAGGAAGACGGGGCCUACCCCGAU
rnacentral:ncRNA from 1 species